GCCCGGCUAGCUCAGUCGUUAGAGUAUAAGACUUUUAAUUUCAAGGUCGUGGGUUCGAGCCCCAUGUUUGGCA